CCUACGGUAGGCAGCAGUGGGGAAUAUUUGGCAAUGGGCGCAAGCCUGACCCAGCAACGCCGCGUGAAGGAAUAAGGCUUUCGGGUUGUAAACUUCUUUUGUCAGGGACGAAGCAAGUGACGAUACUUGACGAAUAAGCCACGGCUGACUACGUGCCAGCAGCCGCGGUAAUACGUCGGUGGCAUGCGUUAUUCGUCUGUACUGGGUGUAAAGGGCGUGUAGGCGGGACUGCACGUCAGAGGUGAAAAGCACGGGCUCAACCCGUGGCCGUCAUUUGAAACUGCAGUUAUUGAGUAAUGGAGAGGGAGACGGAAUUCCUAGUGUAGCGGUGAAAUGCGUAGAGAGUAGGAGGAACACGAGUGGCGAAGGCGGUUUGCUGGACAGUAACUGACGCUGAGGCGCGAAAGCGAGGGGAGCAAACAGGAUUAGAUACCCUUGUAGUC
rnacentral:rRNA from 1 species